rnacentral:rRNA from 1 species
UCAGGACGAACGCUGGCGGCGUGCUUAACACAUGCAAGUCGAGCGGAAAGGCCACUUCGGUGGUACUCGAGCGGCGAACGGGUGAGUAACACGUGAGUAAUCUGCCCCUGGCUUUGGGAUAGCCACCGGAAACGGUGAUUAAUACCGGAUAUGACCACUUCGCGCAUGUGAUGGUGGUGGAAAGUUUUUCGGCCAGGGAUGUGCUCGCGGCCUAUCAGCUUGAUGGUGAGGUAAUGGCUCACCAUGGCUUCGACGGGUAGCCGGCCUGAGAGGGUGACCGGCCACACUGGGACUGAGACACGGCCCAGACUCCUACGGGAGGCAGCAGUGGGGAAUAUUGGACAAUGGGCGGAAGCCUGAUCCAGCAACGCCGCGUGAGGGAUGACGGCCUUCGGGUUGUAAACCUCUUUCGCCUGUGACGAAGCGCAAGUGACGGUAACAGGUAAAGAAGCACCGGCCAACUACGUGCCAGCAGCCGCGGUAAUACGUAGGGUGCGAGCGUUGUCCGGAAUUAUUGGGCGUAAAGGGCUCGUAGGCGGUUUGUCGCGUCGGGAGUGAAAACCAGGUGCUUAACACCUGGCUUGCUUUCGAUACGGGCAGACUAGAGGUAUUCAGGGGAGAACGGAAUUCCUGGUGUAGCGGUGAAAUGCGCAGAUAUCAGGAGGAACACCGGUGGCGAAGGCGGUUCUCUGGGAAUGACCUGACGCUGAGGAGCGAAAGUGUGGGGAGCGAACAGGAUUAGAUACCCUGGUAGUCCACACCGUAAACGUUGGGCGCUAGGUGUGGGGUCCAUUCCACGGAUUCCCGUGCCGCAGCUAACGCAUUAAGCGCCCCGCCUGGGGAGUACGGCCGCAAGGCUAAAACUCAAAGGAAUUUGACGGGGGCCCGCACAAGCGGCGGAGCAUGCGGAUUAAUUCGAUGCAACGCGAAGAACCUUACCUGGGUUUGACAUACACCCUGCCGCUCCAGAGAUGGGGCUUCUUUUGGGGGUGUACAGGUGGUGCAUGGCUGUCGUCAGCUCGUGUCGUGAGAUGUUGGGUUAAGUCCCGCAACGAGCGCAACCCUCGUUCUAUGUUGCCAGCACGUAAUGGUGGGGACUCAUAGGAGACUGCCGGGGUCAACUCGGAGGAAGGUGGGGAUGACGUCAAGUCAUCAUGCCCCUUAUGUCCAGGGCUUCACGCAUGCUACAAUGGCCGGUACAAAGGGCUGCGAUCCCGUAAGGGGGAGCGAAUCCCAAAAAGCCGGUCUCAGUUCGGAUUGGGGUCUGCAACUCGACCCCAUGAAGUCGGAGUCGCUAGUAAUCGCAGAUCAGCAACGCUGCGGUGAAUACGUUCCCGGGCCUUGUACACACCGCCCGUCACGUCACGAAAGUCGGCAACACCCGAAGCCGGUGGCCCAACCCUUGUGGAGGGAGCCGUCGAAGGUGGGGCUGGCGAUUGGGACGAAGUCGAAAAGGGGGGGCC